GGUGGCAGCUGCGGAGAGAGAAGGCAGCUCGGAGAAGAUGCUAAUGGGGAGCCAUGAGGAUUGGAGGAGGGGGAGAAGGAGGGUAUUGGGCUGGGUGAACUAGCUAAAACAAAACAAAACACCCAGAACCCCUUGCAUUCGUGUCAAAGGCUGCCUGGCCUUUAUCGCUUUCCCUCAGUUUCUUAUCGGGUUCUUUCAAUGUCAACCCAGGUUAGAAGGCCUUUAGGACAGGGGUCUCCAUCCUCGGCAAGGUGAAGACUUCAACUUCCAGAAUUCCUCAGCCAUCAUGGCCGGCGGGGGAAUGCUUGGAGUUGAAAUCCACGAGUCCUCAUGUUGCCAAGGUUGGAGACCGCUGCUGUAGAAGACUUCUAGAACAGGGGCAACAGCUCGGCUGGCGUAGGAGGCAUAAAACUAGCCCAGGUCAACUUCUGUCCAGAGGGCAUCAGAAACAGCCCAGAAGCCACACACACAAACAAACACACACACACAAGAGCAAAGCUGCAACUCGGUCUGAAGAAAGAUUCUGCCAUGGAACAAGAGGAUAACAUUGAAGGAAGCAGCUUAAUGGACAACCAUGAUCUGCUUGAUUAGGGUUUUUUUUUUUUAGGCCACCUCAGCUUGAAGGUUUUGGGGGGCCUGGUGACACCUCCUUCCAAUGUCCCUUCCAGUUUUCAAGAAAUCUACACCUGGGCCUGUUCUUAAGGAGAGUGUCCAGAGCUACUAAAUCCCCCCCACCCCCCCUUACUUUCCCACACAUGAGAAAGUGGCAGCACGGAAGCUUCCGGCCUAAUAUGGCUUCCAAAGCUGAUAAGAGAGGUUCCCACCACCUCAGGGCUUCUUGGCACAACCUGGAGCGGCCAUGUGGCAGAGCCUAGAGAAGACGACAACCGCUGACGAUGGGUCAUCUUGAAGUCUCCUCCAAACAGCUCUGGAUCAACAACCCCAGCAGCUUGGAGGAGCGCCAUCAAGGCAACCUUCAGUUGACCAAGCCAAAGCCAAAACAUGCAAAUAUGACUCUAUGAGCCCAAAAAAUUGUGCUAAAGAGGUUAAAUCAGGAAUUCUGAGUGGUGCGCUGGCCUCCGCCUCUCAACUAUGCUAAGCCAGAGAAAAGCAACCGGGGAAAAUAUUCCCCAAACUGGAUCUUUUGUGACUCGUGAAUUCUGAUAUACCCAACCUUUUUGCCUUCCUUCUCUUGAAGGCAGGGAGGGCUCCAGCGUGGUCUGCCGGUAACCAACUCCAGAUGUGGACGGUGUUAGCCCCCUCCCCCCCCCCCCCCCGGCCUCCCACAAGCAGGUAAUCCCCAUUCAAGCCUAACUUUUUGCUGUCUGUCUGAGCUGUGCACUUGCUACCAGGGAAUGUCUGGAAAACUCCGAUUUAAAAAAAACAACAACAACAACAAUGAAAAAGGGAAAGAAAGGAAAAUCUUCCCUCCUUCUUUAUCUAUUCGUCUUCAUCUAUUCUUUCGUGGAAGGAAGGAAGGAAGGAAGGAAGGAAGGAAGGAAGGGUGAGAAAGAAAGAAAGAGAGAGAAAGAAAGAAAAGAAAGGAAGAAAGAACGAGGAAGAAAAGAAAGAGAGAGAGAGAAAGAAAAAGAAAGAAAAGAAAAAGAGAAAGAGAGAGAGAGAGAGAGAGAGAGAGAAAGAAAGAAAGGAAAAAAGAAAAGAAAAGAAAAGAAGAGAAGAGAAGAGAAAAAAAAGAAAAGAAAAGAA